AUGUGCAAAUCGAACGAACCAGCAAGCUAUGGCCUUACCCGCAUCCGUCUGCCCUCCAAAUCGCGAACACAGCCCAAGCUUCGCCGCAAGAAACCCACAACUCUAGCGAUAAGAUCCCUUCUCCGGUCGCAGUUUCAGGCACGCAGCCGCUCCUCCGUAAGACUGAAUCCGAGCUCAUCCCAGACGCAGUCCAGUCGACGAAGCAUCUCUUCACAUCGACGGAACACCGUCGAGCCACUCCAUGCCACCAUCACCAAUUUAUCUGAGGGUUCUUUAUUUUUCUUCUCUAAUCUUUGUAUAUUUGGAUAUGUGGUUUUGAUUUAA